rnacentral:rRNA from 1 species
GACGAACGCUGGCGGCGUGCUUAACACAUGCAAGUCGAACGGGAUUUAGUAAACAGAAGCCUCGGUGGAAGAUUACUAAUGAGAGUGGCGAACGGGUGAGUAACGCGUGAGCAACCUGCCUAUGACAGUGGGAUAGCCUCGGGAGACCGGGAUUAAUACCGCAUAAAAUCGUAGAAACACAUGUUUUAACGGUCAAAGAUUUAUCGGUCAUAGAUGGGCUCGCGUCUGAUUAGCUAGUUGGUGAGAUAACAGCCCACCAAGGCGACGAUCAGUAGCCGGUCUGAGAGGAUGAACGGCCACAUUGGAACUGAGACACGGUCCAAACUCCUACGGGAGGCAGCAGUGGGGAAUAUUGCACAAUGGGGGAAACCCUGAUGCAGCGACGCCGCGUGAACGAAGAAGGUAUUCGUAUCGUAAAGUUCUGUCCUAUGGGAAGAUAAUGACAGUACCAGAGAAGAAAGCUCCGGCUAAAUACGUG